GACGAACGCUGGCGGCGCGCCUAACACAUGCAAGUCGAACGAGAGAUGAAGAGCUUGCUCUUCAAAUCGAGUGGCGAACGGGUGAGUAACGCGUGAGGAACCUGCCUCAAAGAGGGGGACAACAGUUGGAAACGACUGCUAAUACCGCAUAAGCCCACGGCUCGGCAUCGAGCAGAGGGAAAAGGAGCAAUCCGCUUUGAGAUGGCCUCGCGUCCGAUUAGCUAGUUGGUGAGGUAACGGCCCACCAAGGCAACGAUCGGUAGCCGGACUGAGAGGUUGAACGGCCACAUUGGGACUGAGACACGGCCCAGACUCCUACGGGAGGCAGCAGUGGGGAAUAUUGCACAAUGGGGGAAACCCUGAUGCAGCGACGCCGCGUGAAGGAAGAAGGCUUUCGGGUUGUAAACUUCUUUUAAGUGGGAAGAGUAGAAGACGGUACCACUUGAAUAAGCCACGGCUAACUACGUG
rnacentral:rRNA from 1 species